rnacentral:lncRNA from 10 species
GAUCACUUGAGCCCAGGAGUUCGAAGUUGUAGUGAGCUACGGCUGCAUCACUGUACCCAAAUCUGGGUGACAGAGAGAGACCCUAUCUCUAAAAGAAAAAAAAAAAAUUAAAAAAAAGAAAAUUGCAAUCCAGAGAGACUGAAUAGUUUACCUAAUGAUUAGCACAUUAUAUAUCACAAUAGUUACAUAUAUAUAAUUAUAUAUAAACAAUUUUUAAGACACAGUUUAUUGUGACAGACUGCUAGUUUCUCCUAAAACCUGCUUUUCAUUUUUCCAUAGUAAUAGAAUUUUAGCUGAGCAAAAGACACCCAGACACAGACUCCACUUUCCCAUCUAGCUUGUAGGUAGGCAUGACAAACUAAUUCCUAGACAAAGGAAGGUAAGCUAAAGUGAUGUACGCAACUUCCGACUCUCUCAUUGCUUGCUUGAGCUUCCUUUCUUCUCGUCUUACUGUGGGUUUCCUGACAUGGCAGAAACUCAGCUUUGGCAAUUCAAACGGAGUGGCACAUCAGGAUGGGUGUGUGUAUCUUUGAAUGACCUCAUGAGGCUGACUUGCCUCCUAGCAGCAUGGACCAGACAGUUACAUGAGAGGCCAAUAUGGUGAGAUAAUGGCUCAUGGCAGACAACAAACAUCUAUGCCUCGACUAACUGUUCCCGAAACUACUGUCCAUUAAUUAAUCCUAAAGCCAAAAGAGGGUAAUAAUCAGAAAAGUAUUUUAUACCUAAGAGCUCAAAAGAUCAGCUAGAUGGGAAGAAUCACUGAAGCACUAAACAGUAUCAUACAGAUUUGAAAGUUACCAUUUUGCA